UCUCCUCCCCUCCCAUGCAACUUCUCCUGGACACCUGAAGUCUCUCUCCUCUCCUCAGCCUCCUGAGCCUAGGCAAGGUAGGCAAAUUUUGCCCCCUUCCUGCGAUUUCCUCCCACCAGGACGUCCCAGGCGGGAAGACUUCUGCAGCUCUGUGCUGCGGCUGCUGACUUUGCCCUUGGCCUAAGGUGGCUGGCUGGCUGUGAUCUUCCCUGGGCUCCCUGGAGGCUGGCCCAGCAGGCACCAAGGAAAGCAAUCUUUCUUUUGGCCUGCAGUUGAGACCCGCACAUCCUGGUGAGCUGUUUGCCAGGACAGAAUCAGCCUCUGCUUUUGAAUAAAGGGCCACCCUUUUCCUCCCUGCACCGAGGCCUGAUUGGGCCAGGAGCUCAGCCAUCCUUAGCCCCGGCUUAGUAACAACAAAAAGUAUCCCUGGAAAAGCUACCUUACAACAAGAGUGACAGUCCAGUGUGGAUUUCAGAAGAAACAGAAACUUGAGUGGUAUGUUCAUGGCUGUCUAUAUCCUGGGCCCAGCCCCCUGAUGAGGCAGUGGACGGACAGAGAGGUCAACAGAUGCUUGCUAGUGUGCGGGCGGGAUCUGAACGGAGAGCUCCUCACUCAGCACGCUGCCUUGGACGCCAGCCGUGCAGGCCAGUGUCGAAGGAGCAACGUGGGCAAGGUGAGCCCUCACCUCCUCUGCCUCCACGUGCAUCGAGAAUCUCACUGAUGUGUCAGCUUGUUCAUCGGACACCCACAAUGUGCCAUGUGCCUGGCACCAGGGGACAGAGAAGCACAGAGCACAGGUCCCCUGGCUGGAGCUCAAGCCUGUCCAUGCCCAACCUUCCCACUGUCCUGGUGUGAGACUUGGGGAGGCAUUUAGUCUGAGCAGAGAGGGAAGGAUGGAAACAUAGCAGAAGGGAGAACAAAGCCGGCAUCACAGGAAGGAGGCCCAAGGCCCAGCACGGACCAGGUGAGAGGUGCCAGGGCCAAGGGGCAUGGCCGUGGCCCGGGGAGAGCUGACCCUACACGGCCUGCACUGCUGAGGCCGAGACCAGCUUUGUGGGGUAGAGCCCAGAAACUGGGAGAGGCCUGGUUGGGGGCGUUUAUUCAGGUCUGGUGGGCACAGGAAGGGAGAGAGGGUAGACAGGGGCAGACAGCCUUGGAGACAAUGGUCCAAACUUAGGUAGUGCUUCUCAGAUACCAGCAGAGGGGGAAAAAAGGCAAGAACAAGACUGGGGCUGGUGUUGGGCAGAAGCAACUGAGCAGAGCCAAGGGCAGCAAGGCCUGGCAGUGUCCAUGCCCAGCGCUAAAGGUCUACAGCCACCCAUCUGGGUCAGAAGGGGACCUAAGGUUCUGAGCGGGCGGCUGAGCCCACGAGAGCCUCUGAGCCCCAGGAGCAGGUAUCAUAAUGGGCAAGUCCUCUGCACAGUCCCAGCACGUCCUCCCUGUUCCAGUGCUCCCCCUAAGUGGAGAUAAGCACCUGGGAAGGGGGGGCCUUCCUGUCCUCACUUUGCAGAUGAGUGACCCACAGCACAGAGAGGUUGAGGGAAUUGCCAAGAUCACACAGCUAGAAAAUAACAGAACAUCCAAGGCUCAGCCGAAGCCUGGAGUUGCCUGCAGAGAAAGAGUUGUCCAAGUUUGGGGGAUAACUGUCCACAAGGAAGAAGGUGUCAGCCAUGAUUCUCCUCUGUACCCCUGAGGAGUGCUGGACUUCUUUGAGCUCUUACAAGUGUUCAUGCCAGCCAAUGACCUGGCUGCUGAUCAGGAUGCCCCCCGGGCUGGCCUCCCAUCUGCAGAAGCAGUAGGUGUUAUCCUGAACGGCGUUGUGUGGAUCAAGGGAGGAUGUGGGGCUCUGUAUCCAUGUCCGGCUUCCUGCCCCCUCCAAUUCUCACUGACCUGGCAAGUGCUCACAGGAAUCAGCACUCACCAUGGAUCAGUCACCUGGGAGCUGAGCUGGGGCAGUCUCUCUUGCCUCCUUUCUCACCCCAACUUGUAGGGAAAGUCUGCAACUUGCUGUGUAUCUGGGUACCUGCCUCUUGCUGAAGCACCGGGUCCUCUGCUCCCAGCCUGUGGCCCUGCCUGCCCUCAGCAGUGCAGGGUCAACUGGGGCAGACUUCGUGCCUGGUACCGUGUCUACAGCCCCCUGGCCUCGAUCUUGCAGGAGCUGAUGUGAAAUGGGUCACACCUGACUAGGCCAAGUUUCUGAAUCGCAUCGCACUUUCCUGAGUCUCUGAGUCUUUGUUGCACCUAAAAAUACAGGUGACCACUCCCUGGGCACUCACCAGACAUCAUAGACUGUGCCCUGAUCUUUACUCCACAUCCUUGUUCAGUCCUUAUAAGACUUCUAGAGAGAGGGUAAUCUUGUUUCCUGAAUUUUCUAGAUGUGUAAACAGAAGCCCGGAGGCGAUGUGACUUGCCCACAACACAUCCAGUGAAGGGCCAAGAUGGGAUUUGAGUUUUCCUUCCGGCCCCAAGCCGGCCCUAGGUUCUGCUUACUGCCAGUUGAAUUUCGGGUAUAGGGAACCUCUUCUCCCCCAAGAGCGUGUUGCUAUCCCAUGUUUGUAUCAACUACGUUUCACGCGUUUUCAAGUAAUACAAAGGUGAGAGGGGGGACUCGUGAGCUAGAUGGGCCAAAAUCAAGAUGGAAAAGAUUUGAGGCGGAAAGACAGAGCCAAUACAAACAAGACAGCAUUAGCGGGGUGCCUGGCAAGUCCUGCGUCUCUGCUCAGCGUUCCCAUCACAGGGG